rfam:Brachypodium distachyon strain Bd21 chromosome 4, whole genome shotgun sequence.
UAACUACUCCCUCCGUCCCAUAUUAGGUGACUCAAAUUUGUCCAAAUAUGAAUGUAUCUAUGCCUAAAAAACGUCUAGAUACAUAUAAUAGAAAAGUCACUUAAUACGGGACAGAGGGAGUACUAA